UUUGUAAGAAAAUUUGUACAAAAAUGACUUCCAGAUUUUGUAUAGAAAAAAAAACAUGAUUCAUUUGUGGAUCAUAUAUCAUGAAGGAUUUUACACAAAUAUUACUGUCACACUUUUUACGACUGUCAUUUUUGGGGAUGGUUGAAAAAAAAUCACGUCAUUGCCGAUAUGUUGCACGAUUGCAGUUUGCUCGAUCGGUAUGAAGAUUAGUCGCCGCAAGUGUCUAAAGUUGGGGGGGGGGGAUCAUGUGGCCACGUGGACUGUAACCUCUCGAUCCCCAUCGCUCAUUUGUUUGCUUUCUCCUCACUGUGGGUCAGCAGGUUCGUCCAGAACGCGGCUUUUGGCCGGUUCAUGCCAGACCAUGUGGAUCCUCAUCUGGGUCGAAGGUUACUGGAACACUCGGUGGUUCGGACUAGUGGAGCCCUUCAUCUCAAUAGAAAUUACACAAUGACAUAAUCCUAAAUCAUUUGAUCAAUUAGAUGCCGAUGGGAGGAGUCAAAAGAUGAGUGAAGUAGCAAUUCCAAUUCCUGCAAAGCUUUCCAGCAGGAGAAGAGAACGUGCAUCAGCAACUGUACAACAGGCGAAUGCACAAAAUGAACGGCGGCGCUGACAUCGAAAGCGAGCGGUCCUCCGUCGGAGCUGGAUUCCGCCGCGGUCCCCCGGAGGAGCACUUGGGGGCGGCGAGCGACCCUUUCCUGACGGCGGCCCGGCUCCUGCGCGCCGGGGACCGGAAAGUCAAAGAGGACAAACAGCAUCAGCACAGAGGCGCUGGCGUACCCGUGAAGACGCCACGCAAGCAGUGGAGAACGUUGAAGACGCCCAGACUGGCGCCCAUCGCCGAGACGUAGCCGCAACGCGAGCUUGGUUCGGCUCCCGAAUGUGUUCCAUACACACGACACGCUUCACUGCGCGGUGCUUUGCUCAUUCCAAACAGCUCUGAAGGAUUUUCUGCCCGUUUUCUACAAUUCCAUGCCGAUUAAAAUCAUGUCUGUCAUUUACAAUCUGGAUGCUCAUGUGGGAUCCAUGUUUUUCAGACAUUAAUUUGCCCGGUACUGAGAAAGGCGAAAAGGUUUUUUUUGGUGCUUGUGU